rnacentral:rRNA from 1 species
AUACGUAGGGAGCGAGCGUUGUCCGGAAUUACUGGGUGUAAAGGGUGCGUAGGCGGGACGGCAAGUCAGAUGUGAAAUACCGGGGCUCAACCCCGGGGCUGCAUUUGAAACUGUCGUUCUUGAGUGAGGUAGAGGUAAGCGGAAUUCCUAGUGUAGCGGUGAAAUGCGUAGAUAUUAGGAGGAACAUCGGUGGCGAAGGCGGCUUACUGGGCCUUUACUGACGCUGAGGCACGAAAGCGUGGGGAGCAAACAGGAUUAGGUACCCUGGUAGUCCACGCUGUAAACGAUGAUGACUAGGUGUGGGGGGACUGAACCCUUCCGUGCCGCAGUUAACACAAUAAGUCAUCCACCUGGGGAGUACGGCCGCAAGGUUGAAACUCAAAUGAAUUGACGGGG